AAAAAGUUUUAUUUUGUCUUAACUUAUUAAUAAUUAUUUUUUUUGUAUACUAAUAUUUUUUAAAUAGUUUUAUUUUGUAGUAAUUAGUUUUAAUAAAUUUAGGAAACUAAGAUUUAGAAAUUUGGUUUAGUAUUGACAAAAUUUGUGCCAGCCGUAGCGGUUAAACUUAUAAUGCAAUUAAUAAUUAUUGAUUUGUAAUAAAUUGAUUUUAUUUAUUUUAAAUAUUAUUUUUUUUAGGUGAAAUUUUAAAAUUAUUAUUAAAUAAUUUAAAUAUUAUGAUAUUAUUAAAUUUUAAAAUAGACUAGGAUUAGAUACCCUAUUAUUAAAAUGUAAAUUUUUAAAUCGUAUUAGUAUUAGUUAUAUUCUUGAAAGUAGAAAAAUUUGGCGGUAUUUUAGUCUAUUUAGAGGAACCUGUUCUAUAAUUGAUAGUCCACGAUUUUAUGUACUUAUAUUAUUAGUUUGUAUAUCGUCGUAGUUGAAUAUUUUAAUAGAAUAAUAAUAUUCAAAAAUUUUUAUAAAAAAAUAAAUCAGAUCAAGGUACAGCUUAUAUAUAAGAAGAGAUGGGUUACAAUAAUUUUAAUUUUGGUUAAUUAAUUUUAAAUUAAUUAUAAAUUGGAUUUAAUAGUAAUAUUGUUUAAUUUAAUAAUAUGAUUUAGGCUCUAAAAUAUGCACAUAUUGCCCGUCAUUCUCAUUUAAGGUGAGACAAGUCGUAACAAAGUAGGUGUACUGGAAAGUGUAUCUAGAAUGGC
rnacentral:ncRNA from 1 species